GACGAACGCUGGCGGCGCGCCUAACACAUGCAAGUCGAACGAGCGAGCGAGAGCUUGCUUUCUCAAGCGAGUGGCGAACGGGUGAGUAACGCGUGAGGAACCUGCCUCAAAGAGGGGGACAACAGUUGGAAACGACUGCUAAUACCGCAUAAGCCCACGACCCGGCAUCGGGUAGAGGGAAAAGGAGCAAUCCGCUUUGAGAUGGCCUCGCGUCCGAUUAGCUAGUUGGUGAGGUAACGGCCCACCAAGGCGACGAUCGGUAGCCGGACUGAGAGGUUGAACGGCCACAUUGGGACUGAGACACGGCCCAGACUCCUACGGGAGGCAGCAGUGGGGAAUAUUGCACAAUGGGGGAAACCCUGAUGCAGCGACGCCGCGUAGAGGAAGAAGGUCUUCGGAUUGUAAACUCCUGUUGUUGAGGAAGAUAAUGACGGUACUCAACAAGGAAGUGACGGCUAACUACGUG
rnacentral:rRNA from 1 species